CUCUUUCCUUUCUUGACAAAUGUAUACAAAGAGUUUGUCCUUUACCCAAAAACAAAACCAAUCAGGGUAGCCAAUGAGUUUGUGCAACAGUUAGUAACAGAACAACAAAUCGUAUGAUUGUUUGAUUCUAAGUAGUACAUGCCCUUCACUCUAACAGAAAUGACUACAUUGUGACCUCUCAACAAUACACGAUAUUUCCAUAAGUGAGGUUCAGAGAGGGUGACAUGUAUGCAAGGGUACCCCCUACCUUGUGAAGACAGACAGGUGAUUUCCGAAAAAUAAGAGAUAUUAACAAUAAUUUGCACCAUGCUAAUCAAGAUGAUCAAGCAUCAUAUCCAUCUUCCAGAAGAAAAUCCUAUUUUCUUUGAAGGAAUGGCUAAUCCCAGCUCUUUACAUUGCUCUUCAUCCGGUUGUGAACCCAGAAAUCCAGUCCCCAUGAAAUGUACCGAUGCUGAUGCAUCCUCAAGUUUUCUAUUCAAACUAAAAGAUGUGGAGAGAAAUGAUUUUGAACUAGUCUUUGAUGUUUUCUUUACUGGCACGACGUCCAGCUGUGCUGAUUUCAGAAAUCGCUCAGUUGCUGCUUCCCAAGAAAGUUCAUGCCUCUGUUUAUCGGCCAGUGGAGAAGGCUCGUCAGACAAUGCCUCGAGUGUAGCUUUAACAAAACCUUUACCAUCAUCAUAUGUUCUGCAAUUUUGGAACUGCAUGAAAAACUCAUUUGAUGGAUGGUUGGAGCAUACAACUAUUUUGCCCAUAGCUAGUGCUUCAGCUGUGGUCGUACAAACUACAUCCGUGGUGCUUGGAUUCAGAAGCACUUUAUAAUUGUGAAAUAAAGGAUCAGCAUGAUCACGCGCAGGAUGAACCCUAACCGUCAAUUCCAACUUCUUAAAAGCCACCUCAAUUUGAGCAGAAUCCUCACCACUACCGUAUAAAUCUAUCUCCAAUCCAGCAAGUUCUUUUUGAUGAUCACGUAAGAGUCUAAGUAGCUCCUUGUAGCCUUUACUCCACAACAUCUUACCAAUGUAGUAGACACCUUUGCUGAAAGUUUGGUUAUCAUUUUGCUGUUUCUCUAUUGCUUUCAUCCCAAUCUGAAGAAACUUUGGAUUGACUCCGUGCACAUUACAGACCAGGGAUCUUGGGAGAUCCUGGGUGGCAGCAGAUAACCUGAUGACCUUGUGGCAAUAAAGAUCGACAACCCAACUAUUUAUCUGUUUUAAGAAAAACGCCUCCACAGCAUUCCUUUCUCUCUUAACAUAUUCCAAAUAAUUGGUGUGAACAAUUCCUACAACCAGACGAAAUUUCUUUUUCCAUCUCUUUCCGUGAUGAAACCAUGUAAGAUGCUCAGGCUCCUCAAGGACUGCAACAUCUGCUUCAUCAUCUGGGAUGAUUACUGUGAUAUCCCCUAACGCAAGAAUGCUCCUUUUAUCCAGAGAGAACUUUCCAGGGUAAAAACGUAUGCUAAAAUUUGAUGCAAAUCCAGUUCUCUCUUCCAACCACUGGCGGACACACUUUUCCUGCUCCAAAUGUGAAUUAAAUUUGACACCACUGGGAAAAACAUGUUCUUGAUCUUUCAAUGGAAGCCAAGGAAUCACCAAGGUGACCUUUUGUUCACCAUCUUUUGCAAGAUAGGCAGCACGAAAGAGAGGAUUAAUGGAAGUUCCAGUUAGCCAAGGAAUGCUUGCAGUAGUAUAUAUAGCGAUAUGAUGUUUUUUGUCCAUUUAUGGAGGUAGAGUCAGAUUAUUUCUGGCUUCUUCACAUGCCACUUUGAGUCAGGAGAGGGAAAUU
rnacentral:misc_RNA from 1 species